rnacentral:rRNA from 1 species
CAGUUCGGAUUGAAGGCUGAAAUUCGCCUUCAUGAAGCUGGAAUUGCUGUAAUGGCAGGUCAGCAUACUGCCGUGAAUACGUUCCCGGGCCUUGUACACACCGCCCGUCACACCAUGAGAGUUGGAAAUACCCGAAGCCUGUGAGCUAACAAACGAGGCAGCAGUCGAAGGUAGAGCCAAUGAUUGGGGUGAAGUCGUAACAAGGUAAC